UAUCCGUAGGUGAACCUGCGGAAGGAUCAUUAACGAGUUAGGGUCUUUUAGGGUCGACCACCCAACCCCUUUGUUUUUUAACCUCUGUUGCUUCGGCGGACCCGCCUCACGGCCCCCGGAGCACCGCGGCCACGCCUGCUCUAGGCAGCGUCCGCCGAUGGUCUUCCCACUAUACUCGGAAUAAAUCGUGUCAAAAGUUUACGACAAUGAUUAAAUUAAAUCUAUAAUCUCAACAAAGGAUCUCUUAGCUCAAGCAUCGACGAAGAAACCAGCAGAUCU
rnacentral:misc_RNA from 1 species